UUUUGAUGCUGUCGAGGGUAGCGUGGGCACACCGCUCUCUCUGUCCCUCUGUUUGUGGUUGAGCCACCGUACAGGAAAGCCCUGUCCAUCGGCGGCUGGCGUGGGGUCGGCUGCUGUUCUGGGAUGGUGUGCUGAGCUGGGCAAACUCAAGUGUCGCUGGUGAUGUUCUUCCACUGUGUCCUUUGGGGUUGACUGCUUGCGUGCCGCUUCGAGAGAACCAGAGGUAAUGCCGGCAUUUUCUGUAAGAGUCUCGACGCUUAGCUCUUGACUUGUGUAGGGAGUUGUGCAUUUCCACAAUACACAACUCCUGUUUAAUCGAUUUAUAAUGCCGUGCCUAAUGGUAACUUUCUCGUUAAAUGUACAUAGGAGGAGAUGGUGCCUUCGACUACACUGAUGCAGUGUCAUUAGAGAAGGGGGGCAUCACUGUUCUUUUCCCAACCUUUUGUUUUGUUUUGUCCUAUUGUGUGAGUGAUUCAUCCUGUGCAACCUUUUCACUUUGACGUCCGAGACGAAGGGGCUUGUGUAAGUUUCACUCUAACAUCCGAGACGAAGGGGCUCGUGUAAGUUUCUACUUAGUAACCGCCAAGACGGAGCUUGUGUAUAUGAUUAGGGUAUGAACACUGAAGUAUUACUGGGAGACGUAUCUUAGAUCUCAGACUUCUUUUGGAACCUAUACUUGCUGUAGGGGGAGACCAAAGACGUGUGUCUAACAGGCUUGUGUGUGUGUGUGGUGGCCAUUACCAAUUUUGCCCUUUUGGCAGUUUGUUUUCUUUUGUACAAUUUGAUUUACUAACUUUGUUUGCCGUGCAAUUUUUGU